rnacentral:rRNA from 1 species
CACGUAGGGGGCAAGCGUUGUCCGGAUUUAUUGGGCGUAAAGAGCUCGUAGGCGGCUUAGUAAGUCGGGUGUGAAACCUCCAGGCUCAACCUGGAGACGCCACCCGAUACUGCUGUGGCUAGAGUCCGGUAGGGGAGCGUGGAAUUCCUGGUGUAGCGGUGAAAUGCGCAGAUAUCGGGAGGAACACCAAUGGCGAAGGCAGCUCGCUGGGACGGUACUGACGCUGAGACGCGAAAGCGUGGGGAGCAAACAGG